rnacentral:rRNA from 1 species
GACGUAGGGCGCGAGCGUUGUCCGGAUUUAUUGGGCGUAAAGAGCGUGUAGGCGGCCAGGUAGGUCUGCUGUGAAAACUCGAGGCUCAACCUCGAGACGUCGGCGGAAACCAUCUGGCUAGAGUCCGGAAGAGGAGAGUGGAAUUCCUGGUGUAGCGGUGGAAUGCGCAGAUAUCAGGAGGAACACCGGUGGCGAAGGCGGGUCUCUGGGCAGUAACUGACGCUGAGGAGCGAAAGCGUGGGGAGCGAACAGG